UAUCAACUUUCUCAGAGAUAAUCAGGUGUUCUAGAUGAGCAUCUUUUCUCUUCUUCAGAGCUUCUUCCCGCUUUUUCUUGGCAAUAUCAUGGUCUUUCAGCAUCCAAGAUGGCAAACCUUUCUUUUGCUGUAUAUCUGUCCAUUGCCCCCAGCCACGGACGAGUAGAGGCUUUUCUGCUUCAGGAUUCUCUUCAUUGAGAAUAUAUUGUUUCUCCUUUUCAAAAUCCUCCUCCACAUUAUCACAUGCAAAAGCUUGCCGAGUGAACUCCUCUUGAGAAGGAACUUCAGUAUGAACUU